CCUACGGGCGGCAGCAGUGAGGAAUAUUGGUCAAUGGACGAGAGUCUGAACCAGCCAAGUAGCGUGAAGGAUGACUGCCCUAUGGGUUGUAAACUUCUUUUAUAAAGGAAUAAAACGAGGCACGUGUGCCUUUUUGCAUGUACUUUAUGAAUAAGGAUCGGCUAACUCCGUGCCAGCAGCCGCGGUAAUACGGAGGAUCCGAGCGUUAUCCGGAUUUAUUGGGUUUAAAGGGAGCGUAGAUGGGUUGUUAAGUCAGUUGUGAAAGUUUGCGGCUCAACCGUAAAAUUGCAAUUGAUACUGGCAGUCUUGAGUACAGUUGAGGUAGGCGGAAUUCGUGGUGUAGCGGUGGAAUGCUGAGAUAUCACGAAGAACCCCGAUUGCGAAGGCAGAUUACUAAACUGUGACUGACAUUGAUGCUCGAAAGUGUGGGUAUCAAACAGGAUUAGAUACCCGGGUAGUC
rnacentral:rRNA from 1 species